rnacentral:rRNA from 1 species
GACGAACGCUGGCGGCGUGCUUAACACAUGCAAGUCGAACGAAGAGCGAUGGAAGCUUGCUUCUAUCAAUCUUAGUGGCGAACGGGUGAGUAACGCGUAAUCAACCUGCCCUUCAGAGGGGGACAACAGUUGGAAACGACUGCUAAUACCGCAUACGAUCUAACCUCGGCAUCGAGGAUAGAUGAAAGGUGGCCUCUACAUGUAAGCUAUCACUGAAGGAGGGGAUUGCGUCUGAUUAGCUAGUUGGAGGGGUAACGGCCCACCAAGGCGAUGAUCAGUAGCCGGUCUGAGAGGAUGAACGGCCACAUUGGGACUGAGACACGGCCCAGACUCCUACGGGAGGCAGCAGUGGGGAAUCUUCCGCAAUGGACGAAAGUCAGACGGAGCAACGCCGCGUGAGUGAUGACGGCCUUCGGGUUGUAAAGCUCUGUUAAUCGGGACGAAAGGCCUUCUUGCGAAUAGUUAGAAGGAUUGACGGUACCGGAAUAGAAAGCCACGGCUAACUACGUG